rnacentral:rRNA from 1 species
GACGAACGCUGGCGGCGUGCUUAACACAUGCAAGUCGAACGGAAAGGCCCCUUUGUUGGUACUCGAAUGGCGAACGCGUGCGUAACACGUGAGUAACCUUCCCUUAACUUCGGGAUAACUUUAGCAAACUGGGGCUAAUACCGGUUACGGAUCCUUUCUUCAUGGGGGUGGUUGGAAAGCUUCGGCGGUUUUUGAUGGACUCGCUGCUUAUCAGCUUGUUGGUGUGGUAGUGGCUUACCGAGGCGUUGACGGGAAGCCGGACUGUGAGGGCGACCCGCCAUACUGGGACUGAGAGAAGGCACAGACUGCGACGGGAGGCAGAAGUGGGGAAUAUUGAAGGAUGGGCGGAAGCCUGAUGAAGAAACGCCGCGGGCGGGAUGACGGUGUUAGGGUUGAAAACCGAUUUCAGAAGGGGCGAAGCUUGUGGUGACGGUACCUGCAGAAGAAGCCACGGCUAACUACGUG